GCCCCAUUGGCCUAAUUGGAUAAGGCGUCGGACUUCUAAUCCGAAGAUUCUGGGUUCGACCCCCAGAUGGGGCU